AGUCUUUUUUCUGAAAAAGUGAGUGUUGUCCCUAUUGGUAAAAGUGUACCUUAAAUACAUUCAUACACACUCCUAAUUAGCAUUAAAUGAGAAUGUGCUUUGACUUUAAUUCAUUAUAUUUGUUCAACAGAGAAAUUGGACUUGACAUUUCAUUCUUUCAAUUACUCCCUCUUAGAGGAUAUUAAUGGACACGCCUGUGUUACUGGUAAACGCAUCAGCCAAGGGGGAAUCGAUGGACGCAUCUCUGCUACUGGCUGUGGCGUCUUCCAUGGGAUUGAAAACUUCAUCAUUGAAAGCUUCUUACAUGAGCAUUUUAGGAAUGACACCAGGGUUUGAAGAUAAAAUAUUUGUUGUUAAGGGAUUUGGUAAUGUGGGCCUACACUCUAUGAGAUAUUUACAUCGUUUUGGUGCUAAAUGUAUCGCUGUUGGUGAGUCUGAUGGGAGUAUAUGGAAUCCAGAUGGUAUUGACCCAAAGGAACUGGAAGACUUCAAAUUGCAACAUGGGUCCAUUCUGGGCUUCCCCAAGGCAAAGCCCUAUGAAGGAAGCAUCUUGGAGGCGGACUGUGACAUACUAAUCCCAGCUGCCAGUGAGAAGCAGUUGACCAAAUCCAACGCGCCCAGAGUCAAAGCCAAGAUCAUUGCUGAAGGUGCCAAUGGGCCAACAACUCCAGAAGCGGACAAGAUCUUCCUGGAGAGAAACAUGGUUAUUCCAGAUCUCUACUUGAAUGCUGGAGGAGUGACAGUAUCUUACUUUGAGUGGCUGAAGAAUCUAAAUCAUGUCCGCUAUGGCCGUUUGACCUUCAAAUAUGAAAGGGAUUCUAACUACCACUUGCUCAUGUCUGUUCAAGAGAGUUUAGAAAGAAAAUUUGGAAAGCAUGGUGGAACUAUUCCCAUUGUACCCACAGCAGAGUUCCAAGACAGGAUAUCGAAAGCAUUCCAAGAAAGAAAUUAGGAAAGAGAGAAGCUGACUUGAUGGUGGAGGCCCUGAGUCAUACAAAAUGGAGCAUUCUACCAGGCAAAUUGUGUGCACAGCCAUGAAGUAUAACCUGGGAUUGGACCUGAGAACAGCUGCCUAUGUCAAUGCCAUCGAGAAAGUCUUCAAAGUGUACAAUGAAGCUGGUGUGACCUUCACAUAGAUGGAUCGUGGCUGACUUCCUCACUACCCUCUUCACCUGUAACUUCUGCAGACCUAUCACAAGUUUACAUGUAACCACAGAAAUCCCUUUCUCUCCUGACUCAGUAAUAAUGGAUACCAUUCUCAACAAGUCAAUCCAAAUCAGGGGCUGGAUUUGGAUUGUGAAGGAUUUUGGAAGUGAAGGAGAAAGAAAUUAAGGUUAGGGGAUCAUGUACAAGCUGAGUGUGAAAGUAGAAAUCCCUACACCAGAGAGCCAUUUGGGUAUUUUGCCUUUAAAUAAAAAGUCUCCUCCAUCUGGCUGUGCAGCCUUGCUCUGUGGCUUUUCCCAACACAAUCAGUGCUGUUGCUGGGGAAGGGACAGGCAAGAGCAGUCAGUUGCUUGCUUAUUUUGCUCUGGAUGAGUCUGGGACACGCUGUAACUUUAGCACAUUUAAGAAGUAGGUGUGUGGCCUUUUCAGAAGGUGGCAUGGUCCUCAAGUGAGUUCUUAGUAUUUUAUAUCAGCAAAAUAACUCAAUUUUGCAGGUUACAAAUAUAAAAGCUGUUUCUGUUUAUGAAUUCUAUUCUUUUAGAAUAAAAUAAGUACAUGCUGCUGUAAUAAAAUUGCCUUUAAUCACUUAACAAGCCUAACCUUGACUCAAACAGUGAAUGCCUAUAAAAAUAAUAAAUUAAAAAAACUAGUAUCAUAAAACAGUGUCAUUUAUAGCCUGUCAGUCAUGUAUUGUUGUCCAGCAAACAUUAAAAGCCUUGUGGAUAAUUAAGUUUUCUUCAUACCUGCAAAAUGGUGGAGGCUAUUUUUGUUAAAACUGUCAGAAUUUGCUAACUGUAAUUGACACAUAGUCCAAAGAAUGCAGUGACCUUUUUAUCAUGUUAACUAAUUGUUUUCUUUGGAAGAUCUAUGGUUGACUAAUUAAACAGUAAUUCAAGUAGAGUGU